GCCCAGGUAGCUCAGUUGGUAGAGCAGAGGACUGAAAAUCCUCGUGUCGGCGGUUCGAUUCCGUCCCUGGGCACCA
rnacentral:tRNA from 4 species